rnacentral:tRNA from 1 species
GCCUUCCUAGCUCAGUGGUAGAGCGCACGGCUUUUAACCGUGUGGUCGUGGGUUCGAUCCCCACGGGAAGGCG